rnacentral:tRNA from 1 species
CAAGGGGUAGUUUAAUAAAAUAUUAGUUUUGGGGACUGAAGAGAGAACGUUUGUUUUGCCCUUGA